AUACGGGGGGUGCAAGCGUUAUUCGGAAUUACUGGGCGUAAAGAGCGCGUAGGCGGUUUUUUAAGUCAGGUGUGAAAGCCCGGGGCUUAACCCCGGAAGUGCACUUGAAACUAAAAAACUUGAGUAUGGGAGAGGGAAGUGGAAUUCCUGGUGUAGCGGUGAAAUGCGUAGAUAUCAGGAGGAACACCGGUGGCGAAGGCGACUUCCUGGACCAAUACUGACGCUGAGGCGCGAAGGCGUGGGGAGCAAACAGGAUUAGAUACCCCGGUAGUCC
rnacentral:rRNA from 1 species